GACGAACGCUGGCGGCGUGCCUAAUACAUGCCAGUUGAGCGCUGAAGGUUGGUACUUGUACCAACUGGAUGAGCAGCGAACGGGUGAGUAACGCGUGGGGAAUCUGCCUUUGAGCGGGGGACAACAUUUGGAAACGAAUGCUAAUACCGCAUAAAAACUUUAAACACAAGUUUUAAGUUUGAAAGAUGCAAUUGCAUCACUCAAAGAUGAUCCCGCGUUGUAUUAGCUAGUUGGUGAGGUAAAGGCUCACCAAGGCGAUGAUACAUAGCCGACCUGAGAGGGUGAUCGGCCACAUUGGGACUGAGACACGGCCCAAACUCCUACGGGAGGCAGCAGUAGGGAAUCUUCGGCAAUGGACGAAAGUCUGACCGAGCAACGCCGCGUGAGUGAAGAAGGUUUUCGGAUCGUAAAACUCUGUUGGUAGAGAAGAACGUUGGUGAGAGUGGAAAGCUCAUCAAGUGACGGUAACUACCCAGAAAGGGACGGCUGACUACGUG
rnacentral:rRNA from 1 species